rnacentral:rRNA from 1 species
CAGUAGCCGCGGUAAUACGAAGGGGGCUAGCGUUGUUCGGAAUUACUGGGCGUAAAGCGCACGUAGGCGGAUAUUUAAGUCAGGGGUGAAAUCCCAGAGCUCAACUCUGGAACUGCCUUUGAUACUGGGUAUCUUGAGUAUGGAAGAGGUUAGUGGAAUUGCGAGUGUAGAGGUGAAAUUCGUAGAUAUUCGCAGGAACACCAGUGGCGAAGGCGGCUAACUGGUCCAUAACUGACGCUGAGGUGCGAAAGCGUGGGGAGCAAACAGGAUUAGAUACCCCCGUAGUCCCUGUCUCUUAUAC